UUGAGUUGGCAAAAAAGUUUGUUUGGGUUUUUCUGUAAUAUCUUAAAAACCCAGAUGAACUUUUUGGCCAACCCAGU
ensembl:miRNA